AUGGGGAACAUGACCCGGUCGGACUCCCCCGUCUCGCGCCGCAUCGUCCUCUNNNNNNNNNNNNNNNNNAAUGCAGUUGAGUUAGCUCCUGGGGCUGACCCUGAAGCUCUUGAAGUCGCUAAGGAUUGCCUGGAGUCCCUUUUUAGCAUCAACUCAUCAUCAACUAGCGAGAGGAUACAGCCAGGACUUCUACUUGAACUCUUUACUUCUCUGCAAGCUAAUGAACAAGAUAGGGCAAGACCAGAUCCCGUGUCACGAUCAGUGUCAAACAAACCUUCCUGCAGUGCAAGUACUCCCAGUAUCCAAGAAGAGUCAAAUAAAUGUACAACAUCAAAUAGUGAAGGCCAAGCGGAAGAAACCUUUGACCUAGAUCAUGCAGGAGAUGAGCUGUUUGCAAAAUUCUUUGCCGCGCUUGAUGAAAUAAAUUUCUUCAAGACAUCACCAGCUGGUGCUGAGGAUCCUGAUCAACUUUCAAAAGCAUCACAAUUCUUCGAUGAUGCAUUACUGGAGGUGCGCAAGUCGGGAAGAAAAGUGGCAAGCUUAGUAGACCUUGCAGAAUUCUUUAAAUCAAAAGGCAAUGACUUCAUGAGAUCAAAACAACACCUAAAAGCUGUAGAGCUGUACACCGGUGCCAUUGCAUUGAGCCGAAAAAAUGCCAUUUACUAUUGUAACAGGGCUGCUGCAUAUACGCUUCUUAAUAUGUGCAAUGAAGCUGUUGAGGACUGCCUGAAGUCAAUUGAAAUUGAUCCGAACUACAGCAAAGCAUAUAGCCGACUUGGAUCUGCUUAUUUUGCAAUGGGGAAUUUUCAUGAUGCUUUACACAAGGGAUACUUGAAAGCCUCUGAACUUGAGCCUGGCAAUGAAAAUGUUCGACUGAAUAUUGAGGCCACCAAAAGGAAGCUGGCUGAACAGCAAACUGCACCAGGACAGAACACACAUGGACCUCAUUCAUGGUUUGGUGGCCAGGCGAGCAGUGGUGCUCCUUUCACAGUAUUCCCUCCUGGAAGUGCUCCACCUCCUCCUGAAUUCUUCAAUAUGAUGAACCGUGGGUCUGGUAAUGGGCAACAGCCACCUCCGCACUCCGUAAAUAUAAAUCUGAACGACUUCUUUGGUCAUGCAAGCGUCAAUGGGAAUGCCCAAGGACCACCGUCCGGGAAUCCAGGCACCCAUACCCCAUCAGCUCCUUUCCCAGCCAGCGCUGGAGUCCCUCCAGCUUUUCCCUUCAUGGGCUCAGGCACCGAAGCAAACCAUGCACAGCAGGCUUCAGGCGGACAUGGAGGAGGGCACAGUGAACCAGGUGCCCAGACAGACGCUGGCAUCCACAUAAAUAUUGGGGAGAGCAUGGUGAGCCCAGAGCAGGCUGCUGAGGCUCUGAGAGCUGUGAUGCAGAUGUUUGGACCGCAGAUGGGCCCCAAUGAAGGCGGUGGUGCGCCUAGAGGGCCACCACCACCACCUGGUUCAAUCUGA
rnacentral:rRNA from 1 species